rnacentral:rRNA from 1 species
UAAUACGUAGGGUGCAAGCGUUAAUCGGAAUUACUGGGCGUAAAGGGUGCGCAGGUGGUUUUAUAAGUCAGAUGUGAAAUCCCCGGGCUUAACCUGGGAAUUGCGUUUGAAACUAUAAAACUAGAGUGUGGCAGAGGGGGGUGGAAUUCCAUGUGUAGCAGUGAAAUGCGUAGAGAUAUGGAAGAACAUCGAUGGCGAAGGCAGCCCCCUGGGUUAACACUGACACUCAGGCACGAAAGCGUGGGGAGCAAACAGG